CGAGCGCAUGAGUAGUGCUGGACCUGUGACUACCGGUAGGCCCCCCGUUGUAUUGCGGCCGACUAUCGGUGCCUGUGUCCUUUCAAUCGUUGGCUAUUGUGCCACUCGUAUUGACGAGUGCUUGCAUGCUGCUACCAGUAACACUGGAAGUUGCAUAUCUAAAUGUUGGUUUUGUCGUGCAGCCCUCAGGGCGUGACACGUCAACUUUGAAGCGUUUGUGGCGUUGCCUCGUGUAGCCGGCCUCGUAGGCUAGCGGCAUCAAGGCCACCUCAUGUUCGCUGUCGGUCUCGGAUGUGGCUAACUCUAUAGGCUGAAGGUGCUUUGGCACCUCAUGCCUACAAGAAAUUGUCCGGUUGGAAACAACGACAGUUGGCCUGGCUGAUGCCUCGUGCGGAAGCUAGUGCC
rnacentral:misc_RNA from 1 species